GACGAACGCUGGCGGCGUGCCUAAUACAUGCAAGUCGAGCGCAGGAAACUGACGGAACUCUUCGGAGGGAAGGCAGUGGAAUGAGCGGCGGACGGGUGAGUAACACGUAAGGAACCUGCCUCAAGGAUUGGGAUAACUCCGAGAAAUCGGAGCUAAUACCGGAUAGUUCAUCGGACCGCAUGGUCCGUUGAUGAAAGGCGCUCCGGCGUCCCCUUGAGAUGGCCUUGCGGUGCAUUAGCUAGUUGGUGGGGUAACGGCCCACCAAGGCGACGAUGCAUAGCCGACCUGAGAGGGUGAUCGGCCACACUGGGACUGAGACACGGCCCAGACUCCUACGGGAGGCAGCAGUAGGGAAUCUUCCACAAUGGACGAAAGUCUGAUGGAGCAACGCCGCGUGAGUGAUGAAGGUUUUCGGAUCGUAAAACUCUGUUGUAAGGGAAGAACACGUACGAGAGGGAAUGCUCGUACCUUGACGGUACCUUACGAGAAAGCCACGGCUAACUACGUGCCAGCCGCCGCCGUAAUAC
rnacentral:rRNA from 1 species